GAUGAACGCUGGCGGCGUGCCUAAUACAUGCAAGUCGAGCGAACGGACGAGAAGCUUGCUUUUCUGAUGUUAGCGGCGGACGGGUGAGUAACACGUGGAUAACCUACCUAUAAGACUGGGAUAACUUCGGGAAACCGGAGCUAAUACCGGAUAAUAUUUUGAACCGCAUGGUUCAAAAGUGAAAGACGGUCUUGCUGUCACUUAUAGAUGGAUCCGCGCUGCAUUAGCUAGUUGGUAAGGUAACGGCUUACCAAGGCAACGAUGCAUAGCCGACCUGAGAGGGUGAACGGCCACACUGGAACUGAGACACGGCCCAGACUCCUACGGGAGGCAGCAGUAGGGAAUCUUACGCAAUGGGCGAGAGCCUGACGGAGCAACGCCGCGUGAGUGAUGAAGGUCUUAGGAUCGUAAAACUCUGUUAUUAGGGAAGAACAUAUGUGUAAGUAACUGUGCACAUCUUGACGGUACCUAAUCAGAAAGCCACGGCUAACUACGUG
rnacentral:rRNA from 1 species